GACGUAGGGCGCGAGCGUUGUCCGGAUUUAUUGGGCGUAAAGAGCUCGUAGGCGGCUUACUAAGUCGAAUGUGAAAACUCCAGGCUCAACCUGGAGCCUGCAUUUGAUACUGGUAUGGCUAGAGUCCGGUAGGGGACCACGGAAUUCCUGGUGUAGCGGUGAAAUGCGCAGAUAUCAGGAGGAACACCAAUGGCGAAGGCAGCUCGCUGGGACGGUACUGACGCUGAGGCGCGAAAGCUAGGGGAGCAAACGGG
rnacentral:rRNA from 1 species